rnacentral:rRNA from 1 species
UACAGAGGUCCCGAGCGUUGUUCGGAUUCAUUGGGCGUAAAGGGUGCGUAGGCGGCGGGGCAAGUCUGAUGUGAAAUCCCCGGGCUCAACCCGGGAACUGCUUCUGAUACUGGCGGACUUGAGGCCAGUAGGGGUCACUAGAACUGACGGUGGAGCGGUGAAAUGCGUAGAUAUCGUCAGGAAUGCCGGUGGUGAAGACGGGUGACUGGGCUGGUUCUGACACUGAGGCACGAAAGCUAGGGUAGCGAACGGG